CCAGUUCAUUCCAGUUGGCUCCAGCUCCUCCUGCAGAUCUCCUCAUUCCUCUUCCUGAGGAAAAGACACAUUGCGAAGAAAAAUAGGACUCAUCUGAAAAGCUUCAGAAAGAACUAAGGAGAAUCACCUUUGCAAAAUGUCCACCUGGUCAGCAACAGAGCAGGCUGCUUCUUCAGCAGAUCACAGCUCAGCCUCGGCGUGGAAUCUGCCUCAUCUGUCCUGUCCCAUGUGUCCCAUGUGUCCUGUCCUGUGUGUCCUAUCCCAUCCUGUCCUGCCCUGACCUGUGUGUCCCAUCCUGCCCUGCCCUAUCCUGUGUCCUGCCCUGCCCUGCCCCACCGGGUGUCUAAGCUGGGUUACACCUCACCUGCCAGGUGAGUCAGGCCAUAGGUGAGCAGAUCAUGACCUGCCCCACUGUGUUAACAGUUUUCAAAUGACUUGUGAUUUUAAAAGCAGGUUGUAAAGUAAAAACACAAAGGAAUAUUCUACCCCCGGUGCUCUGGGGAAGUCUGAGUUGCAGGAGGCAGAGAGAGCUGGCGGGUGCAGAUACCAGCGGAGAAACUGGGGACCUGCCACGAGCGCCCCUGACUGCA